UACGGAGGGGCAAGCGUUGUUCGGAAUUACUGGGCGUAAAGGGCGCGCAGGCGGCUGCUCAAGUCAGGCUGAUGAAGCCUGGGCUCACCCGGAAUUGCGUUGAGACUGGCUGGCUUGAGUGCGGGAGAGGAUGGUGGAAUUCCCAGUGUAGAGGUGAAAUUCGUAGAUAUUGGGAAGAACACCGGUGGCGAAGGCGGCCAUCUGGACCGCAACUGACGCUGAGGCGGCGAAAGCGUGGGGAGCAAACAGGG
rnacentral:rRNA from 1 species